CACAAGUUAAAAACCCACUCAAUGGGUUCAAUAGUUAGGUUGAGUUGAAUAUUGGUACAAUACCUUACAUCAUAAUGUAUUGGGAAUGACACCCUUCAAGGCUAUAUAUAGGUAAGAUCCUCCUGUUUUCUGUAAACUUAGUGAUAAACCAUCAUCAAGGAUGUUAAUGAGAAAAUUUAGACCAUAAUCACAUCAUUACAAUUUUGAAAGAGAACCUUAAUUUGGGUCAACAAUGAAUGAAGUAACAAGCCAAUAAGCAUUGCCGUGAUGUGCAGCUUAAGGUUGGUAACAUGGUAUAUGGAAAAAUUAGACCUUAUAUAUUAAAGACUUUAGUUAAGUAAUCCAAUGAGAAGCUUAGCCCUUACUUUUAUGGACCAUUUAAGAUCAUCAAGAGGAUUGGGGAGGUGGCAUAUAAGAUGGAACUUCCUCCUACUGCCCGAAUUCUUCCUUUUUUUUCAUAUUUCUCAACUCAAGAAGUCAAUGUCCAUAAUUGCAGUGACUUUUACCAUUCUAAUAGCUCUUUCUGCUGAAUGGGAAUUGCAAGUUUAGCCUCAAGACAUUUGUAAAGUUCACAAGCUCAUAGAUGACUAGCUGAAAGUGUUAGUCAAAUGGAAGGAAUUACAUGAAUUCAAGAACUUAUGGGAAGAUCUUGAUGUUAUCUUUAAGAAAUUCCCUGAUUCUCCAUUUGAGGACAAGAUAAGGUGAAGCUUUUAAGGGAGGGUAAUGAUAGACACUCUUUUAUUACAAAGGCCCAUAAGAAGAAACUUAAGAAGAUGCAAGAAAAGGGAAAGCAACUUUAUAAUAGUUAGAAUGUUAACCUUAUUCUCCCUAAUGUCAAAGAGAGAGCAAUGCAAACUUAGUGUUGACUCUUGGUGGUCAUAGGCCUAUUUUAGCAUAAAAUAAUAUUGGAGUCUAUGAAGUUUGUUUUUGAAAUUAUAGUACUUGUUGGUGUCUUUUGGUGAAGAGGGUGAUAUUUGUAUUUUUGGUGGUGAGGAGAGACUAGCCUUUCAAAAGCUAGACGGCAUGCUUAGUUUAGCAUUGCCAUUUUCUCAACGUUUAGCUAUUAUUCUAAUUAUUUGAUAUUACAACAGGGGAUAGGGUAUGGUUUGAAUCAGUGGAGUCUCUUGUAAUACUAGCUCUCUAUUUUGGAAGCUUUAAUAUCAAACCUAAGGAUUUCCCUAUUGGUUAUUUUCUGUCUUGUUAAUUUUUCUACUUGAGAAUCGAAUAUUCUCUUGGGUUGUAACAAUCUAUAAAUUUCCUAAUUGUUUUAGCAUCAUUUCAUGUUUGAACUUUUUGGUUAUUUGAAUUUAACGAUGUUGAUUCUUCGUAAGUUGUUCUUUACAUCAAAUUUUGGUGGAACAUUAUGUCAUUUGUCUUGUAGGCGCCAAUUUGUUUUCCUAUCAAUACCAUUGGAAGUAGGUAACGUAUGUUGCAUUAUUACCUUAUGAAACUUCCUUCUUAAAAAUUUUAGAAUACUAAUUUGUUGAGUUGAUGAUGAUUUGAAUGUAUUGAACUCACUCUGCUAGGUAAGAUUGAAGUUAAAAGCUAACUUGACUAAGAUAAUGCUUAUUGGGAGGCAUGUUUUAUCUUUGGUGAUCCAGAAAUAUCCCUGCAUUUUCAUCUCUUUUCUGAAAUAUCAAUACGGUAUAUUAUUCAAUAUCUCAAAUUGUAUACCCGUUGCAGUCUUGUUUUGAGCUUAAUCAACAUUAUGGCAUUUAAAUAUCCCACCAGUAUUUCUUUUACAUUUAAACAAAGCCUUUGAUGGACUAAGAGGGUAGGCAACCAGAAUUGCUUUUAGAUAUGUUCCUGCAUUGUAGGAAGUUGCAUAGUAUGGAUUAAAUGUUUUUAUUCCAUGUUGAGGAUUUAUGGACCUUGAUAACUAUUCAAAUAAUAUUUUGAAGGACUAUGAGCGAUUGAAAUUUAGCUAUUGAUGUGGUAGGAUCACAAUAUCAUUUGAAGAUUUUAUUUUUUUAUUGUGAUUUGCUAACAUGCAACUUUAGCAAAAAUGAUAUUAAGGUUCUUUGUAACUCUUAAUAAUUUGGCAAGGCAUUUUAAGCAUAUAGAAGUACAGGAAAGCAAAAUUAUUGGCUCUCAGUUUCCUAGAGAUUCUACCUUUCUGAUUGAUCUGGUCAUUAGACUACAAAAAUCUAAUCUAAAGAUCAUAAUAAUAAAUUUUGGAAUUCAAGGAAGCAAGCGAUUGGAAGUGGAUAUCAAUUCCUCUUGAAAUGAUUGCAUUUAUUUCCUUAUUUAGCGCAUGAAGAUGAUGUAAAAUGACUGUCGAUGUUUCUGAGAGCCAAAAACUAUCAUAGCUUAAGGUGCUGAUUUAUGAAAUUAUCCAUUAAAAAAAGCUUCAUGAAAUUAUCUAGACAUGAAGCUCUGUGAAUAGAAAUGGUUUCAAACAAGUAUAUGAACUUAAAAAAGUCAAAGGGAACUUCAUUUUUGCAUAUCCAUUCAAGAUAAUCUCUACUGUUAAAGCUGCAUGUAUUAUCAGCAAAUAAAAUUCUAUUGGCCUCAAGGAGUUAGCAAGCAAUUUUUCAUGGGCAACAAGCCAUAUGAAGAGCUUCAUUUUUUCUAAAACAUGUAAUUUCCAAAUGCACUUGCUCAUGCUUGCUCUCCUUUUGCCCAUUUCCUUAUAGCUCUGCUUCUGAUUUUUGUCUAACUUCAAACUAUAGUAAUAUUUGGUCAUUCUUUACAUUCUUCAUCUCUCUUCCUGUCAUUUUCUGUCCCUUGCAUCUUCCUAUAGGAGUAAGUAAUUUUUUAUUCUUUUCGAUACUUCACAUCCUACCAUUUUCAUGCAUUUAUGCUGAUCUUGAAAGUACCUUGAAUCAAUUGUUUUCGUUCAUGUUGUGGUACUUUUGUUUGGUUCUAAUUUUUGUCUAAUGUAGAUUUUUUGACAAAAAAUUAGCUAGUUUGUGCACACAUCUAUGUGCUUUUGCGAUAAUGCUUUUCUUAGGAAAGUCAAAAGGUAGUUUGAAGAAAGCAAAGAUACAAUGUGCUUCCUUUCACUCUUGAGCUUCUUCAAUGCCAUGUUUUGUGAAAUGAGCUAUCUUUUUUGAGAACUUGGUGAUUCAUUGCCAUUGAUUAAAAUAGUGAUGCAAGAAAUUGACAGUUAUUGAGUUUGGCAUAAUGCGUUUAAUGUCAGGGACAAUAAAUGGUGUUUAAAACAAAUACUUGAAUUACUUUAUUAGUAUCAGCAACAAUGCUAUUUAAUGUUACAAUGUAGUAAAAAAAUUUUUGUAUUUGAGGAUAUGCUGUAACCAAAAAAUUUUUGUCCAUGUGUGCUGACACUUUAAGAUAGGGAUCUCAAGCCUCAAGGAAACCAAGUGCAGUGGAGUCAAAGAACCAUAGAGGAAAAUUUUUUAGCAGUGUGGAAUUCGCGGGAGCAUUAGCCUUUUCCAUUUAUGUCCGCUGCUCUUCCCAUGACUCUUCUAUUUUCCUCAUUUUUCCAAGAGCGUCCCAUUUUCUUUUCUGAUUUCAUUCUAGUUUUGCAGCCCAAAGGUCCUUUCGCAUUUCUUUGCAACCAGUUUGUAUUCCUCCCUAUUCCUCGUAUCAGUCGUCAGUUCAUAUUCAUAUGUCUUCAAUCCAGGCGACAGGUUUUCUUAUACAUUCUCUAUUCUCUAUUUCUUCACCCAUUUAUUUCAUUCUAUGCUCUCUGUUAUGAUAUUCAAUCGAGUUUCUCAUUCUCUUUAACAAAGGUUCUUGGUUUUUUUAUGGAUCCCGAUCAUUUUGUUCCCUCUCCCAAUCGUUUUAGAUGGCGGUUCAAAUUUGGUGCAAAGCGAGAAAGGGAGCAAGAGAGACAGUGGUAUCUUUAUUCUUCUUCUUCGCACAGCGGAACCCUAGCAAGCAACAAAGUGAGCGAGCCCUCUGGGGUGUUCGAAGAUCUGUGUUUGGUCUAGGCAACAUAGAGUCGAGAGUGGGAAGGUGGAACAAAGGAUGAGUAGCAAAGGAGGAGACGAUUGAAAGUUUUGGUGACAGUCCACAUUGCUCAUGGCGGUAGAGGGAAAAUACAUGGUUAUUUUGGCCCAAACAAAAAAAGGGAAAAUCUGUCCAAGAUUUUAGUAUUUGAAAAUUCUUGAUAUAUUUCCCAUUUGUGCUCUUGUCCCUAUAUUUCUCUCUCUCUUUCUUUAUUAGAUCUAUUGAUAUAUCUUUCUUGAUCUAUUUGUGCUCUCCUUUUUUCUCAAGAUUUGAUCUUCAAUUUUGUUUUAGAUAAAAUCUCAUUGUUUUUUCAUAUUGAUAUUGAUUGUCUUGCAGUAUAUCACAAUUAUCCAAGAGAUGUAACUCUUCUAAUUCCAUCAAGUCAAUUUAAUUGAAUUGUGAACCAUGUACAUAUAAUACUAGAGGAAAUUUAUUGUCUUUGAUUCUAUAUGCUUGAGGAAAAACUGAAAAAAGAUUAGCACUAUAGUUCAGAUAGUUUAUCAAAUGACAAUUUCAUUUUCUCUGCACUAGGUGUUGGUUCAACUUGGAGAUAUACUAGACCGAGGUGAGGAUGAAAUUGCUAUCUUAUCUUUGCUGCGGUCAUUGAAGAAACAAGCAAGAGCAAAAGGUGGAGCUGUGUUUCAGAGAGGUAUAAAGAGGAAGAGCGUUGCCCAAGAGUUGUCAUACUAAAACUCUACUGGUAUUUUGUUGUUUGAUCCACCUCUAACCAAACAGCAGCUUUGCACUUAGCACAAUUUUGCAAAUAAUGGAAGCAUGGGAAAACACUAGGGGAUGGCAAACAUUCUUUAUCUGGUUAGAUGAUCAUUUGUAGUACUAAAACUCAAUGAUUUUAUGUCUUUACUUGAGAGUUUUCCACGAAACCUAAUUCAGAUGCAUAGGUAUUUGAUUUAUAAUAUGCUAUCGACUUCAAUGCCUAAAAUGGAACUCUGUUUUGACUACAAGUGCCAAUUCGGAAAUGAUUUAUUUCUGUUUGGCCAAUAUCCAUGGUGGGAUCCAUGGGAGAAGAUUUACAUAAGUGGAACCAUUAUAUUUCUUUUCAAGUGCCUAUUUAAGUACAGCUUUUUCAAACACUUUUUCUAUUUUGGUCCACACUAAGUUAAGGGCUAUCAAACCACGCUUAUUUUUCACCUGUUGAGCGUUUUUUGGAUUAUUACUAAUUUCCAUACUUGAAUGCUGCUAAUUAGAGAUUGAUCAUGCACGUGAUGGAGAUGUGUGCUUUGGAGUGCAAACUUGGGAAGUAUAUUGAACUUUUGGGGGAGUUUAUCUUUACAAGUUCUAUGGAGGAGAUGCAUAGUUAUUCUUUCAAUGUUAUUAUCAUGGCCCAAUACUUAUUUUUGUCUAUUUUUACUCAUUUCCCAUUACAAGUGAGAAACUGAGAUUGGUCAUUUGAGAAACAAAAUUAGAAGAUUGCAAAAGAUCACCAAUGGCGGACUCAAAAAAAGCGAAGCUAACUUGUGCAUCUCCUGCCAACAAUCCCUAGCAUUCAAAUGAUUAAAAUUAAUACAGGGGAUAGACAAACAUUUAAAGUUGAGUAGGAUGCUUUGUUUUGUCUGUUUUUACUCCAAGGAUGUUUCAGGGUUCAACUUGCGAGUGCAAUAAAUCAUUUUUACUCCAGAGUUGAGUAGCAUGCGAUCAGCGAAACAACAAAAUUGAUAGUACUACUUUUGCAUAAUUCCUUAAUGUUUUAUCAGCAGCUGGAAAGAGUUAAAUAAAUCUUCAUAUCUGCAAGUUUGUACUGUUGUGAUAACUUGAAAUCUAAUAAGGAAUUCAUUUUUAUUUUUUUAAUCUUCAAUUUUAGGAGCUAU